rnacentral:rRNA from 1 species
GACGAACGCUGGCGGCGUGCUUAACACAUGCCAGUCGAACGGAAAGGCCUCUUUCGGGGGGUACUCGAGUGGCGAACGGGUGAGUAACACGUGAGUAACCUGCCCUUGACUUUGGGAUAACUUCAGGAAACUGGGGCUAAUACCGGAUAGGAGCUCCUGCUGCAUGGUGGGGGUUGGAAAGUUUCGGCGGUUGGGGAUGGACUCGCGGCUUAUCAGCUUGGUGGUGGGGUAGUGGCUUACCAAGGCUUUGACGGGUAGCCGGCCUGAGAGGGUGACCGGCCACAUUGGGACUGAGAUACGGCCCAGACUCCUACGGGAGGCAGCAGUGGGGAAUAUUGCACAAUGGGUGGAAGCCUGAUGCAGCAACGCCGUGUGCGGGAUGACGGCCUUCGGGUUGUAAACCGCUUUCGCUCAUGACGAAGCUUUGUGUGACGGUAGUGGGUAAAGAAGCACCGGCUAACUACGUG